rnacentral:rRNA from 1 species
UUGCCAGGAUUCCCUCAUCUUCCAUUUCGAACGACAUGACGGCCUUAUCGGUCUGAAUAUCGCAAAGGACAUCACCAGGAUUGAUCGUAUCGCCUUCUUGUUUGUACCACUUCACGAUGGUACCUUCCGACAUAGUCGGCGAAAGCGAAGGCAUUUUGAGAGCCUGGCCCUUCACUGCGAUGAAAAGCGAAAUUCGGGAUGUACAGCGAGCGUUUUCUUCCUCAACAGACCAGGAUACUAUACUGUGUACCCGAACCAACACGCUGAAUGCUUACCGAACAGGGCGCAAGAUGCGUGGAUUGAGCAUGGUGAACAGCGAGUUGGAGUUUCCAGCGAUCUCAGGAUGACGGGAAUCGACCGACUAGUAACUGCGACCGGCGUGAGCCUGACGGAUGGAAUCCGUCGGGCAACGCGCGAGACGCGCAACAUCGACGACCACAUCGUGGUCAACGGCACAAAAAAGCGAUAUCAAUUUGGGAAGUAAUUUUCAAGGGACAUCUGCAAAAUAAAAUAUUAGUAAUACAACCCUCGAAGAAGUUUUCACCGAUGUGAACACUUGUAUUUCAGAUCUAAUUGGAUC